rnacentral:rRNA from 1 species
UACGUAGGGGCAAGCGUUGUCCGGAAUUAUUGGGCGUAAAGGGUUCGUAGGCGGUAAUACAUGUCAGAUGUGAAAUUUUGUGGCUUAACCACAUCAAGCAUCUGAAACUGUAUAACUUGAGUGGAGGAGAGGUAAGUGGAAUUCCUAGUGUAGCGGUGAAAUGCGUAGAUAUUAGGAAGAAUACCAGUAGCGAAGGCGACUUACUGGCCUCUAACUGACGCUGAUGAACGAAAGCGUGGGUAGCAAACAGGAUUAGAUACCCCGGUAGUCACU